rnacentral:rRNA from 1 species
UUUUAUGGAGAGUUUGAUCCUGGCUCAGGAUGAACGCUGGCGGCGUGCCUAAUACAUGCAAGUCGAGCGAACAGACGAGGAGCUUGCUCCUCUGACGUUAGCGGCGGACGGGUGAGUAACACGUGGAUAACCUACCUAUAAGACUGGGAUAACUUCGGGAAACCGGAGCUAAUACCGGAUAAUAUAUUGAACCGCAUGGUUCAAUAGUGAAAGACGGUUUUGCUGUCACUUAUAGAUGGAUCCGCGCCGCAUUAGCUAGUUGGUAAGGUAACGGCUUACCAAGGCAACGAUGCGUAGCCGAC